rnacentral:lncRNA from 1 species
GCGCGUUUCUGCUGUCUAAUUAAACACAUCACUUAGUAUCUACACCGUUCAUUUCUUCCACGUCUUCGAUCCAUGUGCCUCCAGAUCUAACGGUCCGCACACCCUUAGAAAAAACAAAUCUGAUUCGGUCUCUAACCCUCGAACCGGAGUCGAACCCUACCAAUUCCACUAGCGGUUAAGCACCGACCUAGAGAGAGACAAUUAAGAGAGAGAGAGAGAGAGAGAGAGAGAGAGAGAGAGAGAGAGAGAGAGAGAGAAUUCUCUCGAGCAAGAACAGGAGAGAAAGCAGACAGAAAGUAAUAGAACAGAGAGGGAGAAAGGAGAGAGUGAAGCUAUUCCUUCAUCCGAAUCUCUACAGUUUCUAUAUUUGUUUA